rnacentral:antisense_RNA from 1 species
GGCGGCCGCGGCUCCGCCCCGGGUUCCCACCGCCUGAAGGGCGAGACAAGCCCGACCUGCUACAGAUGUGGAAACAGGAAGAGAACUAGAACUGGAAGUAAGGCAUUGAAGAUGUGACUGAAUUGCUGCAAUCUCAUGAUCAAAUUUGAAUGGAUGAGGAGUUGCUUUUUAGGGAUGAGCAAAGAAAGUGGCUUCUCGAGAUGGAAUCUACUGGUGAAGUUGCUGUGAACAUUGUUAAAAUGCCAAUAAAGGAUUUAGGAAUUACAGAAACCUGGUUGAUAAAGCAGUGCCAGGGUGUGAGAGAGUUGACUUCAAUUUUGAAAUAAGUUCCACUGGCUGGGUGUGGUGGCUCACACCUGCAAUCCCAGCACUUUAGGAGGCCGAGACUGGUAGAUCACUUGAGGUCAGGAGUUCAAGACCAGCCUUGCCAACAUGGUGAAACCCCACCUCUACCAAAUUAGCCAGGUGUGGUGCACACCUGUAGUCCCAGCUACUUGGGAAGCUGAGGCAG